rnacentral:rRNA from 1 species
AGUGAACGCUGGCGGUAGGCCUAACACAUGCAAGUCGAGCGGCAGCACAGUAAGAGCUUGCUCUUACGGGUGGCGAGUGGCGGACGGGUGAGGAAUACAUCGGAAUCUACUUUUUCGUGGGGGAUAACGUAGGGAAACUUACGCUAAUACCGCAUACGACCUACGGGUGAAAGCAGGGGAUCUUCGGACCUUGCGCGAUUGAAUGAGCCGAUGUCGGAUUAGCUAGUUGGCGGGGUAAAGGCCCACCAAGGCGACGAUCCGUAGCUGGUCUGAGAGGAUGAUCAGCGACACUGGAACUGAGACACGGUCCAGACUCCUAAGGGAGGCAGCAGUGGGGAAUAUUGGACAAUGGGCGCAAGCCUGAUCCAGCCAUACCGCGUGGGUGAAGAAGGCCUUCGGGUUGUAAAGACCUUUUGUUGGGAAAGAAAAGCAGCAGGUUAAUACCCAGCUGUUCUGACGGUACCCAAAGAAUAAGCACCGGCUAACUUCGUG